rnacentral:rRNA from 1 species
AUCGAACGCUGGCGGCAUGCUUUACACAUGCAAGUCGAACGGCAGCGCGGGCUUCGGCCUGGCGGCGAGAGGCGCACGGGUGAGUAAUGCAUCGGAACGUGCUCAGUUGUGGGGGAUAGCACGGCGAAAGCCGGAUUAAUACCGCCUACUACCUGCGGGUGAAAGCGGGGGACCGAAAGGCCUCGCGCUCUUGGAGCGGCCGAUGUCGGACUUGUCAGUUGGUGGGGUAGAGGCUUACCAAGGAGACGAUCCGUAGCUGGUCUGAGAGGACGGCUAGCCACACUGGGACUGAGACGCGGCACAGACUCCGACGGGAGGCAGCAGUGGGGAAGUUUGGACAAUGGGGGCAACCCUGAUCCAGCCAUGGCGCGUGCGGGAAGAAGGCCUGCGGGUUGUAAACCGCUUUUGUUCGGGAAGAAAGCCUCUGGGCUAAUACCCCGGGGGGAUGACGGUACCGGAAGAAUAAGCACCGGCUAACUACGU